GGAUAGCACCCUUCGGACCACACAUCUCGCAGGCUGUGUAAAAGGACUUCUUCAUGCUUAGUGCUGUGCGGCUGCCCCAGAAAUCACUCAGAGUCUUGAGCUGGUUCUGUCAUCUCAAAGGGCGAGCGAGUUAGUGACUUUGCACUUCAGCUGUAUCGUUGAUGCCACCCCUUGACCCAUACCGACCCUGGAGUUUAUAUUCCUGCGGGUGAAAGCCGACGCCGCAGACCACCCCUCCUGUACAGCACUCCAUCAGACUCUGGGAAUGACAUCACGGCCCGCUAAGAGCCUCUGUGACAGCCGUGUGCUAAUUGAAUAUGACGAACUGUUCUCCGGCUCACCUCUCGCCACCUCGGGACUGCAGAGCCAGCGAUGAGAGACCGAGGAGGAGACUGCGCG